UACAGAGGGUGCGAGCGUUAAUCGGAAUCAUUGGGCGUAAAGGGUGCGUAGGUGGCUGAAUAAGUCAGAUGUGAAAUCCCUGGGCUUAACCUAGGAAUUGCAUUUGGUACUGUCUAGCUAGAGUACAGUAGAGGAAAGUGGAAUUUCCGGUGUAGCGGUGAAAUGCGUAGAUAUCGGAAGGAACAUCAGUGGCGAAGGCGACUUUCUGGACUGUUACUGACACUGAGGCACGAAAGCGUGGGGAGCGAACAGG
rnacentral:rRNA from 1 species